AGCAGUACAAAAAGCCCUGUUUGAAUAUGAUGAUGCUUAAUAGACUUGGGACUAAACGGAGGGAAAAAAACAUAUGGGAUUGCUUCUACUUGGCUAGCCAUCUUCUCUACAUUCACUGUGACAUCAGUUUCCAGGCUCUCAAGGAAGCACUAGCAUUUCUCAUGUACUAUCAUCUGCCUCUGACCUAUUUGACACACUCCACUAAGAUUUUGCUGAGCUGAUUGACUUCAUAGAGGCAGAAGAAGCCCUGAAGGGGAAAACCUGUGACAGCUGCUAUGGAAACGAUGGGUGCCUUAUACUUCAUAAAGGUGGAGCAACCAUUUUUUGAAAAGGUUUAAUGCCUUCAUAGUUUACAGUUUCCUAGGGAGAAAACCCUUGGGGUAGUGAUGAGCCUCGUCUUUUGUCCUAUGACAUUCUAAUUAACAGUCACAUAACUAAUGGAGGGUUGAGAUGGGUCCUAGCCAUGAACGAUGUGUGCCUCCGGCAGGUUGGGGGGCGUGGUAGCUGUGCGGCGGCGACAGUGGGAGUGCGGGGGUGGUAAGCGGUGGAGCUUCUGCAAAUGCCGCCAGC